rnacentral:tRNA from 1 species
GGAGCUGUAUCGAAGUGGUCAUAACGAGGCGGUCUUGAAAACCGUUUGUCCGCGAGGGCACGUGGGUUCGAAUCCCACCGGCUCCGCCA